CUACGGGGUGCAGCAGUAAGGAAUAUUGCGCAAUGGAGGCAACUCUGACGCAGCCAUGCCGCGUGCAGGAAGAAGGCCUUAUGGGUCGUAAACUGCCUUUAUUUAGGAAUAAACCCCCGAACGUGUUCGGGGCUGAAGGUACUAAACGAAUAAGCACCGGCUAACUCCGUGCCAGCAGGCCGCGGUAAUACGGAGGGUGCAAGCGUUAUCCGGAUUUCUUGGGUUUAAAGGGUGCGCAGGCGGGCUAUUAAGUCAGUGGUGAAAUCCCGGGGCUCAACUCCGGAACUGCCAUUGAUACUGAUAGUCUUGAGUUUGGUUGAAGUGGGCGGAAUGUAGCAUGUAGCGGUGAAAUGCAUAGAUAUGCUACAGAACACCAAUCGCGAAGGCAGCUCACUAAGCCAAAACUGACGCUCAUGCACGAAAGCGUGGGGAUCAAACAGGAUUAGAUACCCUCGUAGUC
rnacentral:rRNA from 1 species